rnacentral:misc_RNA from 1 species
GGAAUAAUAGAUUAGUCUUUUAAAAAUAAAAUAUUGGAGUGGUAAUCAAGUUUAGCUUAUACAGGCAAAUUCCUUAACAAAUAAGUAAAAUUAUGCAGAAGAAACAUGUAAUGUAAUGAAUGAAUCAAAACACACUCAUCAUGACAAAGACAACCAAAAUCACUAAAAAUCGAUGCUACGGAUAAAUUUACAAAAAAAAAAUGUUUUUUAUUCGAAAAUCGAACUUAUUUAUUAGCUAGAAAUGACGUGUCGGCAAAUUCGCCACUAAAUCUAGCUAAUAUUGGACAAAAUUAUCCUCUACUUUCAACUUAACCUCUUUUCCAAAAAAAUAAGAAAACUGUGAAAAUUAGAUGUACCCAACAACUAAUAAAACCAUUAAUUCAGAACUCAACGACUUAAAAUGACUAUAAUCGAAACUCAUAAACUUCAAAUUCUAGCUUUGCUGCAAAUUUUCUAAUCAUUUCUAGAAAUAGAUCUAGUUAUACCACAUGCAAACCCAC